rnacentral:rRNA from 1 species
GACGAACGCUGGCGGCGUGCUUAACACAUGCAAGUCGAACGGAAAGGCCCUGCUUUUGUGGGGUGCUCGAGUGGCGAACGGGUGAGUAACACGUGAGUAACCUGCCCUUGACUUGGGGAUAACUUCAGGAAACUGGGGCUAAUACCGGAUAGGAGCUCCUGCUGCAUGGUGGGGGUUGGAAAGUUUCGGCGGUUGGGGAUGGACUCGCGGCUUAUCAGCUUGUUGGUGGGGUAGUGGCUUACCAAGGCUUUGACGGGUAGCCGGCCUGAGAGGGUGACCGGCCACAUUGGGACUGAGGUACGGCCCAGACUCCUACGGGGGGCAGCAGUGGGGAGUAUUGCACAAUGGGCGGAAGCCUGAUGCAGCAACGCCGCGUGCGGGAUGACGGCCUUCGGGUUGUAAACCGCUUUCGCCUGUGACGAAGCGUGAGUGACGGUAAUGGGUAAAGAAGCACCGGCUAACUACGUG